rnacentral:rRNA from 1 species
GCUUACUCCGGCGUCGCAGGCGUGGGUAGGCGGAGGGGGCAAGCGGUGGUCUGAAUUACUUGGCGUAAAGGGCGCGUAGGCGGUCGGCGAAGUGCGGCGUGAAAGCCCCCGGCUCAACGGGGGAAAUGCGUUGGAUACUGGCAGACUCGAGUACCGGAGAGGAGGGUGGAAUUCCUGGUGUAGCGGUGAAAUGCGUAGAUAUCAGGAGGAACACCGGUGGCGAAGGCGGCCCUCGGGACGGAUACUGACGCUGAGGCGCGAAAGCGUGGGGAUCAAACAGGAUUAGAUACCCGGGUAGUC